GUCCACGCCCUAAACGAUGCACACUAGAUCGGUGCGGGUUUCACCCCGUAUUGGUCGUAGAGAAAUUGAUAAGUGUGCCGCCUGGGAAGUACGGUCGCAAGGCUAAAACUCAAAGAAAUUGACGGGGGCUCACACAAGCGGUGGAGCAUGUUGCUUAAUUCGAAGCAACGCUAAGAACCUUACCUGGGUUUGACAUGCACGGAUUAGUUCCUGGAAACAGGAAUGAGGCCCGCAAGGGUACAACGUGCACAGGUGCUGCAUGGCUGUCGU
rnacentral:rRNA from 1 species